GGGUGGGAUGAGUAUUCUAAGGCGCGUGGAAGAACUCUCUUUAAGGAACUCUGCAAAAUAGCACCGUAUCUUCGGUAUAAGGUGUGGUUAGCUUUGUAUUAGGAUUUACUCCGAAAGCAAGGAAACUUACAACAAAGAGUCCCUCCCGACUGUUUACCAAAAACACAGCACUCUGCUAACUCGUAAGAGGAUGUAUAGGGUGUGACGCCUGCCCGGUGCUCGAAGGUUAAUUGAUGGGGUUAGCAUUAGCGAAGCUCUUGAUCGAAGCCCGAGUAAACGGCGGCCGUAACUAUAACGGUCCUAAGGUAGCGAAAUUCCUUGUCGGUUAAAUACCGACCUGCAUGAAUGGCGUAACGAGAUGGGAGCUGUCUCAAAGAGGGAUCCAGUGAAAUUGUAGUGGAGGUGAAAAUUCCUCCUACCCGCGGCAAGACGGAAAGACCCCGUGGACCUUUACUACAGCUUGACACUGCUACUUGGAUAAGAAUGUGCAGGAUAGGUGGGAGGCUUUGAGUAUAUGACGCCAGUUGUAUAUGAGCCAUUGUUGAGAUACCACUCUUUCUUAUUUGGGUAGCUAACCAGCUUGAGUUAUCCUCAAGUGGGACAAUGUCUGGUGGGUAGUUUGACGGGGGCGGUCGCCUCCCAAAUAAUAACGGAGGCUUACAAAGGUUGGCUCAGAACGGUUGGAAAUCGUUCGUAGAGUAUAAAGGUAUAAGCCAGCUUAACUGCAAGACAUACAAGUCAAGCAGAGACGAAAGGCGGUCUUAGUGAUCCGGUGGUUCUGUGUGGAAGGGCCAUCGCUCAAAGGAUAAAAGGUACCUCGGGGAUAACAGGCUGAUCUCCCCCAAGAGCUCACAUCGACGGGGAGGUUUGGCACCUCGAUGUC
rnacentral:rRNA from 1 species